UACGUAGGGUGCAAGCGUUGUCCGGAAUUAUUGGGCGUAAAGAGCUCGUAGGCGGUCUGUCACGUCGGCUGUGAAAACCCGGGGCUCAACCCCGGGCCUGCAGUCGAUACGGGCAGACUAGAGUGCGGUAGGGGAGACUGGAAUUCCUGGUGUAGCGGUGGAAUGCGCAGAUAUCAGGAGGAACACCGAUGGCGAAGGCAGAUCUCUGGGCCGUAACUGACGCUGAGGAGCGAAAGCAUGGGGAGCGAACAGG
rnacentral:rRNA from 1 species